rnacentral:rRNA from 1 species
UCUAACUCUGGGACAGCGGGCGCUGGAAAUCGAGUGGUGCAAACGAGUUCUGGGAUCAUUGUGCGUAAAGUGUACGUAGGCGGUCUCGUAGGUCUGAGGUGAAAGCCCCGGGCUCAACCCGGGAAGUGCAUUCGAAACGGCGGGACUUGAAUAUGGAAGAGGGUCGCGGAAUUCCCGGUGUAGAGGUGAAAUUCGUAGAUAUCGGGAGGAACACCAGUGGCGAAGGCGGCGACCUGGGCCAAUAUUGACGCUGAGGUGCGAAAGCGUGGGGAGCAAACAGGAUUAGAUACCCGUGUAGUC